GAUGAACGCUGGCGGCGUGCCUAAUACAUGCAAGUCGAGCGAACGGACGAGAAGCUUGCUUCUCUGAUGUUAGCGGCGGACGGGUGAGUAACACGUGGAUAACCUACCUAUAAGACUGGGAUAACUUCGGGAAACCGGAGCUAAUACCGGAUAAUAUUUUGAACCGCAUGGUUCAAAAGUGUAAGACGGUCUUGCUGUCACUUAUAGAUGGUUCCGCGCUGCAUUAGCUAGUUGGUAAGGUAACGGCUUAACAAGGCAACGAUGCAUAGCCGACCUGAGAGGGUGAUCGGACACACUGGAACUGAGACACGGUCCAGACACCUACGGGAGGCAGCAGUAGGGAAUAUUACGAAAUGGGCGAAAGCAUGACGGAGCAAAGACGAGUGAGUGAUGAAGGUCUUCGGAUCGUAAAACUCUGUUAUUAGGGAAGAAAAUAUGUGUAAGUAAAUGUGCACAUCUUGACGGUAACUAAUCAGAAAGCAACGGCUAACUACGUG
rnacentral:rRNA from 1 species